GUUUGGCUCAAGAGAAGAGUUCUUAGCAACAGAGGAAGGGUAGGAUCAAAUUCCUGCCUCUUAGGAAUGGGCACUCCACAAAAUUCUCCUGCUACGAGCACCCAAGAUCGUGGAAGGGGGGCUGAAAGGGAUUAUCUUUAUUUCUGAGACAGGAUCAGAACUAUUAGAUGUUUUCUAAUUCAGCUUUGAAAGUCUCCAUUUGCAGUUACGCUCCUGGCAGCUUUUGCAGGUGUUUAUCUGUCCUGGCACUUUCGUGUGUCUGAGUUCUGCAGCUCUUGUGUUUAACCCUCCCUUGCUGGAGAGGUGUGUGCUGUAAAAUUGCUCUGUGGGAUUUCAGCAGGUGUGUGUAGAUUGCUGGGCCAGGCCAGGGCUCACCAGCUCCAGCCUGAGCCCGGAGAGGAGCAGAAUUCAGCAAACCCGUUCAAGAUAAUGUGAUUUGCUGCAAAAGUCUGUAUUUUUAGGAUGUUUACUACAGAGGUCUGAAAUUACGUGGGCCAUUUGUUGCCCUUGACAAGAGAAAAUGUAUCUCCAGUGAAAUUUCCUACUCAAAGCAAUCUUUUAAUGGACCUUUUCCUCCCGAGCCCGGAGCUGUAAGGGCAGUGCCUGCUGUAAAUCACCCUGCUCCAGAGACAGCCAGGCUCAGGUGCCCUUUCUUUCCUCCUGAGCUGACCUUUUGGUGUCUGCUGUGUUUUGUAACCCGUCCUUUGCCCCCGGAGUUGGCAGCAGCAGCAGUCCCAUGGUGGCUCCCUGUGCUGGCCCCCCUUCAGGGACAGGGGUGUGAUGUCCAGGGGCCUCUGGGGACAUCCCGUGGGGGCUGUGCAGGACUGAGCAGGGCUGGCAGCACUCUGGGGCUCAGCUGCUUUCCUUGCCAGCCCCUCCUGAGUGCGUGCCCUCAGAGCAGACCUGUCCUGUCUGCAGAAACCGAAGGUAAACAAGCCGGGCUGUGUGAGGCCAGGGGAGGCAGCGAGGCUGGUGCUGGGCUGGGCAGCUCCGUGUCCCUGCCAGGGCCACUCUGAGCCCAGGCACAGCUGCAGCCCCUGCCCAGGGCUGUGCUGGGGGCCCAGGGGGGCAGAGGGGCUGGCUGCUGCCCUGGCUCAGUCCUGUCCCUGGGAAUGCAGCAGGGGACAUUGCCACCAGCCCCUCAGGGCAUGUCACCUCCUCACAGCCAGGAAUUCUUCUGGGGCUUCUCAGAAUGGAUGAUGUCCCUCCAAAACAGCAGCUCCAGGUUAAAUGUCCUUCCAUUUUGUGCUGCAGUGUUCUUGUGCAGAAGAAGAUCUACAUUCAUCCGUGCUGUUUUGGACUCCAUGUUCCAUGAAUUUAUCACUUGGUUUGCUCUUGAUGGGAGAUGUUUAAAGAGGAGGAUUAGUCUCUGGGGUUUAGCUCCUCUGCCCUUGUGUUUGUAAUCAGGCAGAAACAUCAUCAGAAGAGAUCUCUGUGAAGGGUUUGGGGUGUGAGGCUGACAGAGGUGUUUUACUGCUGAGUUCAGGAGCUCAUUUCCAAAACUUAGUGUUGUUAAAACCAUGGAGGGUGGGAAUUGGCUCUUUGCCAGUUAGUUACUUUAGUUUAAGAGAUCUUUGCAUUCAAAUUACUUAUCUGGAGUGCUGGCAGGCUAAUAAAUUCCAGGGAACUGUUCUAAAUAUUGUCAAUCUCCAAUGUAAUCCUAUUAAAAUAAUUGAGUAUUUUCAGGGUAAAGAAUUCCCUCAUCCUCUGUCCCCAGCACACAGGAGAAAACAUGAAAGGCAGCCUGGAGUGUCCUCUGCACAUCACGGAGCUGACACAGCUGAGAUUCCUGGCUGUGGAGCUGUGAGGUUCCCAGCAGCCAGGACUUGGAGAGGCACAGCACUUGUACCAAGGAGAUCAGCCUUCCAAUUCUGGGCUUUUUUGUGGCUGUGAGUGGGUUUUGUCCUCGCUCCCUGUUUGAUUUGGCCUGGUGCACCUCGAUUUCAGUGGGAGGCUGUUGUUAUCCUCUGGGAUUUGUUCUUGGAAUGCAGGGAAUGCCAGACCUGCCCAGGGUCCUGCAGCAUUCCCAGUGCAAGCAGGCACAGGGGAAGCUGCUGAGCUGUGUCUGACCCUCCCAGCAGUUUCAGCCUGGAAUGGGUGCUGGCCCUGCCCUGCCUGCUCUCUGUCCCCAUGAGGAGCUGGGUCAGAUCUCUGGAUGCUGUUGUUUCAGCUGAGCUGGGACAAUGGGCCCUCCUGGAGCAGCCCCCAGCACAUCAAACGCAGCCCCUGUUGCUUUUUCAGAGGAGACAGUUUCUCCAGUUUGCCUUUUGAUAAUCUUCAAAUGGAGGCCUGACCUGAAUUUACAACACGGAGGAAGAAAACGAGAGGAAAAAUAUCUCCCGACAGCUUUUAAGGUGUCUUUGACAGCAGUAAACUAAAGAAAAUAAGCACAAGUUCUUCCCUUCCCCUUUGCUUUUGUAGGUCACUUCAGGGGAAUCUGAGCAAAUCAGAGAACUUCAAAAACAACCUCCAGCCCAAUCGCUUCCAGCAGCCCCCGAGCCCCCCUUGCACAGCCCACAAACUCACAUUCUCCUUGGCAGCCUCCUGUGAAAACCAGCUUGGAAUAACUCGCCACAAGGAGGACACGAAGUUCCUUGGGUUUGGCAAAGUAAACAGGUCUAUUUUUGUUUGCAGGAGGUUUUGCAGUGCAGCGCCCUGGCAGAGCUGCCCUGCCUCUCUGCCUUGCCUGCCUUUACCCUUCCCAGCCACUCUGGAGGAUGAGGGUGCUUGGGAAGAGAGGCUGUGGGGGCUGCCUUGGUGGCUCCUGUCACCUGAACCUCGUGACCCGAGGUGCCACAUGGCACGUGUGUGACAAACACAU